rnacentral:rRNA from 1 species
GACGAACGCUGGCGGCAGGCCUAACACAUGCAAGUCGAGCGAGCGGCGGACGGGUGAGUAAUGUAUGGGGACUGCCCGAUAGAGGGGGAUAACUACUGGAAACGGUGGCUAAUACCGCAUACUAUCGGAUAACCCAUAUUGGAUUAGCUAUUGGGUGGGGUAAAGGCUCACCUUGGCGACGAUCUCUAGCUGGUCUGAGAGGUUGAGCAGCAACACUGGGACGGGGACACGGCCCAGACUCCUACGGAGGCAGCAGUGGGGAAUAUUGCACAAUGGGCGCAAGCCUGAUGCAGCCAUGCCGCGUGUAGGAAGAAGGCCUUAGGGUUGUAAAGUACUUUCAGCGGGGAGGCGUUACCCGCAGAAGAAGCACCGGCUAACUCCGUGCCAGCAGCCGCGGUAAUUC